ACAAACGCUGGCGGCAUGCCUAACACAUGCAAGUCGAACGGACAGAACAGGGAAGCUUUUCGGAGUGGAACUGGAAAGUUAGUGGCGGAUGGGUGAGUAACGCGUGGACAACCUACCUUGUAAAGGGGAAUAACCUCGAGAAAUCGAAGCUAAUACCCCAUAAUAACCUUGCUUCGCAUGAAGUAAGGAGGAAAGGCGGCCUUAGCGCUGUCGAUACAAGAUGGGUCCGCGUCUGAUUAGCUAGUUGGUGAGGUAAAGGCUCGCCAAGGCGACGAUCAGUAGCCGGCCUGAGAGGGUGAACGGCCACAUUGGGACUGAGACACGGCCCAAACUCCUACGGGAGGCAGCAGUGGGGAAUCUUCCGCAAUGGGCGAAAGCCUGACGGAGCAAUGCCGCGUGAGUGAAGAAGGCCUUCGGGUUGUAAAACUCUGUCCUUAUCGAAGAGAGAGUGUUGUAGUAACUGACAAUACUAGGACGGUAGAUGAGGAGGAAGCCCCGGCUAACUAUGUG
rnacentral:rRNA from 1 species